rnacentral:rRNA from 1 species
CAGCCGCCACGGGAAUACGAAGGGGGCUAGCGUUGCUUGGAAUUACUGGGCGUAAAGGGAGCGUAGGCGGACAUUUAAGUCAGGGGUGAAAUCCCAGAGCUCAACUCUGGAACUGCCUUUGAUACUGGGUGUCUUGAGUGUGAUAGAGGUAUGUGGAACUCCGAGUGUAGAGGUGAAAUUCGUAGAUAUUCGGAAGAACACCAGUGGCGAAGGCGACAUACUGGAUCAUUACUGACGCUGAGGCUCGAAAGCGUGGGGAGCAAACAGGAUUAGAUCCCCAGUAGUCCCUGUCUCUUAUACA